GUUUGCCGUGGACUGUGUGUGACGCCCUGUUUUUGUUUUUUUCCAAAAAAAGGUAGGUCUGUUAUGGGGUUUUUUUGGCAUAGUUUAUUGUAUAAAAAAUAUAAAAAGAAUUGAUGUGGGUGGGAAAGAUGAGGUGUAUUGCUGCACAUUUAAGGAUCCUUUUUCUUAAUAUAUAUUGUUAUUUGCUGAAGUAUAUAUUUUAUAUACUGUGUUUUAUUUAAUUAAUUUAUUUCAGACCAUUUUAUGCUUUAUUUACCUUUAUUAUUAUUAUUAUUAUUAUUAUUAUUAUUAUUAUUAUUAUUAUUAUUAUUAUUAUUUCCAUUUCCACAUUUAAACAUAUAUAAUUGAAUUGAGUGAGCACUGACGCUCGGAGCUGUGGAGAGAGAUUCUGUUUGCCGUGGACUGUGUGUGACGCCCUGUUUUUGUUUUUUUCCAAAAAAAGGUGAAUAAAUCCCCAUGAUUCAACUCCGGUGUGUGCGCCUCACUAAAAAGAUACACAACGCAGAACAACAGCCUCGUGCGAAAUGUUCUCUGCCACAACGCCAACAUGAUGAUGAUGAUGGUGUUAAAGAUGUAUUUACUGCCACUAAAUGACUUCUUACUUUUUCUUCCUUCCUCUUUUUCUCUUUGCAACAAUUUUCUUUAUCUGCUAACUUACUAUUAAUUUAAUAGUAGGUUAGUAGCAUUGUAUUAGUAAUAGUGAUACUAAUAAUAUAGUUAUAGAUAUAUAGUUAUGGUUAAUGUCAGCCUAAAACAGAAAGACACCAACGUUAUUAUUAUUUAUUUUAUUAGGGAUGCAAAGUAUUUCUUGUUCAAGACAAUACUGAUCAUUUAUUUAAAACAAUUUAAACAACAUCUACAUACAGUAUAUUACGAUAGACAUGUAAUCAAUGUCACAAAAAAAAAACUUCCAUAAAACGUUUGGCCAUUUUUUUUUUCUCUUCUUCUUCGUGGAAAGCAAGCAGAAGAUGCAAAGCAAGGUUGGUUGCAUGAACACAGGCACUCACUCUCUGGUAACCGACCAAAACAUGUUUACAAUUGAUCUAUUUUUCUCCUUUUCAUCUUUUCAUCUCACUUCAAACAAUUUAACAUUAAAACAUGACAAAAUAGUGAUUUCAUUCAUAUACAUACGAUGUAUCUUAAUAUGUUUUUCUUACCAUAUUGCUCAACUCUACUUUUAACCUAAUUUAACCAAACAAAUACUUUCCAGUCAGAUUUUUUUUUACAUUUGAACUGCGGGUUCUGAGUUUAAAGGCCUACUGAAAGCCACUACUACCGACCACGCAGUCUGAUAGUUUAUAUAUCAAUGAUGAAAUCUUAGCAUUGCAACACAUGCCAAUACGGCCGGGUUAACUUAUAAAGUGCCAUUUUAAAUUUCCCGUGAAACUUUCGGUUGAAGUCAAUGGUUGAAACAGAAGUAUUGGGACACAUUGUAUCCCAAUACAAACAGCUCUGUUUUCAUCGCAAAAUUCCACAGUAUUCUGGACAUCUGUGUUGGUGAAUCUUUUGCAAUUUGUUUAAUGAACAAUGGAGACUGCAAAGAAGAAAGCUGUAGGUGGGAUCGGUGUAUUAGCGGCUGGCUGCAGCAACACAACCAGGAGGACUUUGACUUGGAUAGCAGACGCGCUAUCCGACGCUAGCCGCCGACCGCAUCGAUGAUCGGGUGAAGUCCUUCGUCACGCCGUCGAUCGCUGGAACGCAGGUGAGCACGGGUGUUGUUGAGCAGAUAAGGGCUGGCGUACGUGGAGCGCUAAUGUUUUUAUCAUAGCUCUGACGAGGUCCCAUAGCUAAGUUAGCUUCAAUGGCGUCGUUAGCAACAGCAUUGCUAGGCUUCGACAGGCGGCACAGCAUUAACCGUGUAGUUACAUGUCCAGUGUUUGGUUCCGUGUCUCCUGAUAGUAGUAUUGUUGAUCUUCUGUCUAUCCUUCCAGUCAGGGGCUUAUUUCUUUUGUUUCUAUCUGCAUUUAAGCACGAUGCUAUCACGUUAGCUCCGUAGCUAUAGUGCUUCACUGAUGUAUUGUCAUGGAGAUAAAAAUCACUGUGAAUGUCCAUUUCGCGUUCUCGACUCUCAUUUUCAAGAGGAUAUAGUAUCCCAGGUGGUUUAAAAUACAAAUCGUGAUCCACAAUAGAAAAAGGAGAAAGUGUGGAAUCUAGUGAGCCAGCUUGUACCUAAGUUACGGUCAGAGUGAAAAAAGAUACGUCCUGGUUUCUUCCGUGAACCAGGGGGUGUGCCUCUUAGGGGCCUUUUUCAGUUUUAGCGGUGCUAUACUAUCAAUGGCAUUAAAGUCAACAUUAAAGUCGUUGGUAAGGCUAUCGAUAGAGUCCACAUCAUUUUGGAACGCUGCCAUUAACGAGUGCCAGAGUGAGUCGUGGUUUUAGCAACAUUAAUGCUACGACUGCUAAAGCAUUGGUUAUUAUCAGAAUAUUGACAAUGGGUCAGAACUUCAAAUUUUAUGAGGUAGGGAUCGGGCAUGACUUUGGAGCACAGGAGUACGACAACUUUAAAAGUGGCAACACCCCGGACUAGAACCAGAUCAAUCGUAUUACCGUUGCGAUGUGUGGGUUCAUGUAUUUGUGUAAGACCACAACUGUCAAUUAUAUUAUCAAUUAUAACGCCACGCUCGGAGGGUCGGAGGGUUAUCCUCUGUUCCUUUGUCUGUGCAUAAGUAAAGUAUUUGUAUUAUUUUCUCUCAGUGUUAGACAUUCCAACACAGGAAGUGAAAAUAUGAAUAUUUUAAAACAACUUUGUUGUUCAUGGUCAAGAUGGCCGUCACAGCGCGUCUUCUGCUUGAAUGUUCUCAUAGUCGCCAUGGUCCAGCUGCUGACAAGAGGACACAUGAUGACAGUGAGACUGGAUUCAUGACACCAGAACCAACAAGAUGUCACCUCUGCAGUCUGGACGAGCUCAUUUGGAUCUGCGGUGGACGAGGGAGACGUUGUCGUCCUGCGUUUGGAAAAUAAACAAGACCUGCUGAGCUUGUCCAGUAAAGUAAACCAGUAAACACCUUUAGCAUCAUGUUCAUGUUAACAAAAACAUGAUACGUUUUUACCAAAUUACAUUUCUGCUUGUGGGUUAAUUGUGUUACAAUGUUCAAUCAUAUUAAUGAUGAUGGAUUAAUCUGCAUUAAAGCGUUCAUUUUGACAGUCCUACUUUUUACCUGAAGUGCAGAGUCAGGAUGAUCAGGAUGCCCACGAACACAACAGCAGAACAGAACAGCCUGAUGAUGUUUAUCGUUCUACAGGACAUUCCUACACAUGGACAUACAGUAGAUGUCUUCAGGAGACACAGAUGUGUUUUGGACAUGAGGGGUCUUACCAUUCACGCUCACAUGCACACCAAUGAUGUGGCGCCCCCUGCUGUUGUUGGCCUCACAGUAAUAAUCAUGGCCACCCUGCUCUGUGAUGUUCCUGAUGGUGUAGCUGGCGGCCGGGUUAGCAUCGCUGCUGCAGGUCAGAGUCCCGAACUGUCCCUCAUGGACAGACAAAGAGAGUGACCAGGGAGGAUCUGAGGAACAGGACAUUGUCCUCUUCAGUGUCACCACACGUCUUCAAGACGUAGAUGUACUCACAGUGGACAUCAAUGAAGACGGGUUCUGAUGUCUUCUUCCCCAGCUGGUUCUCCACAGUACACCAAUACUCUGCUGAGUCUGAAGAGUUGAUGGGCUUGAAGACCAGUUGUCGACCUUUUCUGAGGACUUCAUCAUCUGAAGACACAUUCUUCUUCUUCUUGUACCAGCAGUAAUCAACUGUUGCUGAGGAGUAGUCGAAGUUGUCGAUGUAGCAGGUCAGUGUCAGUGGACGACCCUCCAAUAUGUCACCAGUAUGACUCAGAGACACUGAGGGUCUUUUCAGAACAUCUGGAGGAAGAACAAACAAGUUUUAAACAAACACCUUCUUCUUCUUUUCAGCACAGACAAAACAUGAGUCAGUAAAGCAGCAGCAGACCUCCACCAAGGCGCCAGUGCACAUUACACUUGACAGUGCAUCAUAGUACACAUGCAGCGCCAUCUGCUGGAUCUGGUGGCUCACUGCCUCACUUUGCACUAAUGCCAGACCACAGGGGGACCCCAAAGUCCAAACAUACACGCAUGAUGUACGUAUAAUAUCUGUGUAAUAUACAUACUGCACACAAAAAACAUCCCAUUUAAUUUGUAUCUAUUCAAAGAAAUAAAACCUUUUUUAUUUUUUUAUUCAUACAUUUAUAUAGAAUAACAAAUGUUGCAAAUAUGCAAAGAAUGUUUAGUAAUGUAUAAAUAUUUCUUUACAAGAAGUAUUUUAUAGUCAAUACAGAGUAGUGAUCCAAUGAAAGGUUCAUGUCUCGUAAUUUUUAAAGUGCUGUUUUUCUGCCGCCUCUCCCUGUCCGUCACAGUGCCCUAUGAAGUCUACCUAGCAACAAGUGCGACGUAAGCAGGAAUACAAACAAAUGUGUUGACUUGUUGCUGCUUCUGCUAGCUGGCUAAACGUGUUCAUCAGCUGGGAGUUCAUUUCAAUUGGUUUGUGUUGUUUACUACUCCGUAGUUGGAAUAGAAACGAGAAAGAUUUGUGUUGUUUUCCUACUGAAGUGCUUUGUAGCGCACCAUGUUUUUCUGGAAGAAAGAAGCACUCACACAGGUGAGGAGAGAUGCUGAUAUGUUGAUGUUGUUGUGCAGCACAGGUGAUGUAGUCUCCAGGUGACAAGGUGACUUCUACUUUGGUUCCAUACUUUAUAACCUCUCCAUUCUGCUGCCACACAAAAGACAAAGUAGCUUCUAGAAGGCAGCUUGUGUGACACAACAUUUGUGCAACAAGGUGAGAAUCUUCAACUGUGACUGACAUCACCUGCACCUGCACAGCUGGAGGCCAGAGGAGCAAACAUGAAACAUGUCAUAUUAAUAUUCAUUUUAGAUGCAAGUCACACAACAUACACACAUGACUGCUUCAUCUGGAACACCACUGUCCAAAGUCCAGUUUGCAGCCCACAGCUUGCUUUUGAUUGGCUGCUGACUUAUUUCUAAAUAAAAUUACACCUGACCCGCAUUCAAACACUAGAAAAGAUUAGUGACUUGGCAGAAAAUUCAAAGAUAAUGUAAU